rnacentral:rRNA from 1 species
UACGUAGGGUCCAAGCGUUGUCCGGAUUUAUUGGGCGUAAAGAGCUCGUAGGCGGUUCGGUAAGUCGGAUGUGAAAACUCAGGGCUCAACCCGGAGACGCCAUCCGAUACUGCUGUGACUUGAGUCUGGUAGGGGAACACGGAAUACCUGGUGUAGCGGUGAAAUGCGCAGAUAUCAGGAGGAACACCGGUGGCGAAGGCGGGUCUCUGGGCAGAAACUGACGCUGAGGAGCGAAAGCGUGGGGAGCGAACAGG